rnacentral:sRNA from 1 species
UGCUAUCUGCGAUAGACAAGAUUCGAACCUGCAGCAGGUUCGGGUCUCACGAAGUGAGACAACGGAGCUGCUUGCGGCGACGGCCCGUAGGGUGAGCGAAGCGAGUCAUCCUGCACGACCCACCA